CGGAUAGGACGAAAUGGGGCGCCACAUGUGGUAUAUCUGGAUUGUUUACAUACAUUGCAUACUCAUCAUAGUCCGAGAUACGCAAGCAUCCCUUCCCCUUACAUGGUGACCCGUUUGGGAAGCAGUGUAACACUGUCCAUCAGCUGUGAUAAGGAUCCAACGUCUGCGAGGUCUCCUAAUGGAAAAGUCAUAUUUAAGACGCAUUAUUCAAUGGUCUAUGUUCAACCAAACAAUGUGCCAAAGAUUAAAGUUGGCGGCGUGGCAAUAUCAUCUGCCAAAUAUAGCAUCAGCUUUGUGAUUCAGAACACAGUUGAUGAAGAUGCUGGUCAAUAUUACUGUGGCAUGAAUCGUGCUGGACGACAGUCUCUUAUCAUCUAUGAUCUUCAGAAUCCAUACAUCGUCUCUCCUCCACUCCUUGACAGACAAGAUGUUCAUAUGACAUGUCUGGCAUACGUCCGGAUUUU